rnacentral:piRNA from 1 species
UGAAAGACUUCUGAGUGCAUAGUCUCCAUG